rnacentral:rRNA from 1 species
UACGGAGGAGGCAAGCGUUAUCCGGAAUUAUUGGGCGUAAAGCGUCCGUAGAUGGUUUUGUCAGUCUGCUGUCAAAGCACAGGGCUUAACCCUGUAAAGGCAGUGGAAACUACAAGACUAGAGAGCAGUAGGGGCAGAGGGAAUUCCCAGUGUAGCGGUGAAAUGCGUAGAGAUUGGGAAGAACAUCCGUGGCGAAAGCGCUCUGCUGGACUGCAACCGACAUUGAGGGACGAAAGCUAGGGGAGCGAAUGGG